rnacentral:lncRNA from 1 species
AUUAUCAUGCUCACAAAUAGGGUCGUCUCAUGGUGGCUGAUGAUUGGUCUGAAUGUCCUUCUUGUCAUUUCCCAGCACUUUAUUCAGAGUUUAAGAAGUUAUUAGAGUCAGAGAAUACAUGCCCAUUAUGUUCAGCAGAGAUCUCUUCUAAGUCGAUUCAACCAUAGAUAAUUACCUCUGAUAUACAGACUAAAUGAAGAAAUUAUUGUUACAUUAAUCCAUCACUUAUGUACAUGCAUCCCCCUUUCAUUUAUAAAGAACAUUGCA